GCACUCAUUUCAGCAGCACAUAUACUAAACCUGGAAUGAUACAGAGAUUAGCAUGCCCCCUGCACAAGGAUGACAUGCAAGUUUGUGGAGUGCCUGUAUUUUUU
ensembl:snRNA U6 U6 spliceosomal RNA